GCUUAACGCGAAGAACCUUACCAAGGCUUGACAUAUACCUGAAAAGGCUGGAAACAGUCUCCCCGCAAGGCAGGUAUACAGGUGGUGCAUGGUUGUCGUCAGCUCGUGUCGUGAGAUGUUGGGUUAAGUCCCGCAACGAGCGCAACCCUCGUUCUAUGUUGCCAGCACGUAAUGGUGGGAACUCAUAGGAGACUGCCGGGGUCAACUCGGAGGAAGGUGGGGAUGACGUCAAAUCAUCAUGCCCCUUAUGUCUUGGGCUUCACGCAUGCUACAAUGGCCGGUACAAAGGGCUGCAAUACCGCAAGGUGGAGCGAAUCCCAAAAAGCCGGUCUCAGUUCGGAUUGAGGUCUGCAACUCGACCUCAUGAAGUCGGAGUCGCUAGUAAUCGCAGAUCAGCAACGCUGCGGCGAAUACGUUCCCGGGUCUUGUACACACCG
rnacentral:rRNA from 1 species